GUAAAAUGACAAGCAUAUGCCUGAACUCAAAAAAGUGAUGUCAUCUUAACUACUGAGAAGUGGGCGGGGAGUACUCGAGGCUUUUUAAUGGUUGUUCUUAAGUACAUUAAAUGCCUCCCUUUUCUGUCUUCAGCUCAUCACCAAUCCUAAGGAAUUCAAGUGCCUCCCAGGAUGAAUACAGGUUGUCUUGAUGGUGAUACAUUCAUCUGUCUUAAGAUCCCUGCUGAUCUGCUCAUGGUCAAACUCAUGGAAAGAGUUGAGAGUGGUGAGUACUUGUAACCUUGGUUAUAACUUGUCUCCAGUGCCAGUGAGGAGAGCAAGCAUCCUGUCUUAACCCCUGUCCUAGCCCCAGAGCCAGUAAUGGUGAACCCACUGGGGCUAACAGGGAGAGAGGAUGAAAACAUGUUCCGUAAGGAACUGUCUGAGGUACAGCAACUGCCAAUGGGUAGCAUUUGUUUAGCUUCCCUUGGCUUACAUAUUAGCUGGGAUCCUUUUGGUUUUUUAAGGUACUCUACUGAUUUCAUGAUCUUCUCAUUCAGGGGCACCUUGUUCCUGCAUCCUCAAAGGAGCAUCUUGUUCCUCCAUUUAAGCUUCCAGAGUUAAAAGGUUAGUUGAUUAAUGUCACCAUAAUAUAUGCCACCAAGUAAGCAGUUUCUGUGAUGAAUCAAACUAGCUCACUAUGAACUAACAAUGAAAAGAUAUGAACACCUGAGAAACUGGAGAACAGAGCAGUGGGAUACUGUCUGCUAGGAACUUAAUAUCACUUACAGUUUUGUCCUUUCCUAGGUACCUGUACCAUUUAGCGGCUUGUUCACUCAAAGGUGAGUGAUUUAUAUGUUGGUGCAUACCGUGUACUGAGGGAGAAAAUGCCUUUUUAGGCAUCUACACAUGAUGACUUACAUGGAAUCUCGUUCGGCUGAUGAUUUGCUGUUGAGACUCGGAAAUCUGAUUUUUUUUUUCUUUUAAGAACUUAAGUGGGAACAAAUUUUAAUGUAGGAAGUAAGCAUUACUGACUCAUUCUUGUUUUGUUUUAGAUCCAUCUUGUCUGGAGCCUGAGGAUGAUUGGAGGUAAAUCUGUUUAUCUAUGGCUGCUAUGUAAAGUUUGCCAGUUUUUGUGUGGCACUUUGGAUAGUUGUGCAGGUAUUACUUAAUCCAAAGUCUGCCUUUGGCCAUUUGUGAACCACCUGAAACAGAUUUCUGCUCACAUGAUGAGUUCGAUACCGCCCCAGUCUGAUCACUAUGACUGAAAGGUAUUUUCUGAGCUGUGAGUUUGCCUUAGAGUGGGAAGUUAGUCUUUUAAUAAAAUGUCUGUUGAGACCUACACAGCCUAUUAGGGUGUCCCAUUCCUCUGGUAAUGGUUGACUUAGUUCCCAAUCUCUGUUUUGCAGGUGAAAGGUGUAAGCCAUACUCUGCUCAACUCCAGUCUGAAACUGAGGUUUAAAGAACACGUACUUAACACACGGGUGGGUAAGUAUCCAUUCACGUACUUGUGUUAAAUAUCAGACUAACUAUAUAAAUACAAAAGUACAUUAGAGCAGCCCUUUUAGUGUUAACUGGUUGAAAGGAUAGUAUGUUCUAAGUCCGUUUUAGUAACUAAGUCCGUUUUAGUAAGAACCCUAAACUGUUCUUUUUCUCUGCAGGAAUCCAACUCUUGGAGGACAUCAGAAGUGGAAUUUUCUUAUACAACCUACCUAUUCAAAUUAGCAUAUAAUCUUUCUAGCCUUUCUAAAUAAAUAAAGGGAUUUUUUUGUAAA
rnacentral:lncRNA from 1 species